rnacentral:lncRNA from 1 species
GAAAACAACAUAAUGGUAUUCUAAACAAACAAAAAAAAAUGAUCAACAAGGUUAAUUUUUUUUGUUGUAGUACGAGUUGAGGAAAACAAUCAUUCUGCCACAUCAAAAGCACAAUUGGCAUCGAGGAUAAAGAAUCAAUUGUUUCCCUAAAAUGGUUUGGUUUUUUUUUUUUUUAAAGAUGGGGCGACAAACAAACAAU